rnacentral:rRNA from 1 species
UACGAAGGGGGCUAGCGUUGUUCGGAUUUACUGGGCGUAAAGCGCACGUAGGCGGAUCUUUAAGUCAGGGGUGAAAUCCCCGGGCUCAACCCGGGAACUGCGUCCGAUACUGGAAGGCUUGAAUCCGGGAGAGGGAUGCGGAAUUCCAGGUGUAGCGGUGAAAUGCGUAGAUAUCUGGAGGAACACCGGUGGCGAAGGCGGCAUCCUGGACCGGCAUUGACGCUGAGGCGCGAAAGCCAGGGGAGCAAACGGG